rfam:Paraburkholderia tropica strain P-31 P31_contig_26, whole genome shotgun sequence.
AAAAAGCCCGCUUUGCGUCGGCAGAAGCGGGCUUUUCGGGAAUUCGGGGGCGCUGUAGCAAAUGAGCGGCGGCCAAUGCUGCACCGUUCGCUUUAGCUGUUUUGGGUUGCCCCGCGUCCGCAAGCUGAGAUCAAAUCGACGCAAGCCCACAUGCUAACACGGGAAACGCACAGGCGUUUCCCGUCGCGC